rnacentral:piRNA from 1 species
UAGCGAGUAUUCUUGGAGAAGUGUCCG